UGGGGAAUAUUGGACAAUGGGCGCAAGCCUGAUCCAGCAAUGCCGCGUGUGUGAAGAAGGCCUGCGGGUUGUAAAGCACUUUCAGUAGAGCAGAAAAGCCCAGGGUUAAUACCCCUGUGUCUUGACGUUACCUACAGAAGAAGCACCGGCUAACUCCGUGCCAGCAGCCGCGGAAAUACGGAGGGGGCAAGCGUUGUUCGGAAUUACUGGGCGUAAAGGGCGCGUGGGCGGCACAUCAAGUCAGAGGUGAAAGCCCCGGGCUCAACCUGGGAAUUGCCUUUGAAACUGAUGAGCUAGAGUCCGGAAGAGGAUAGCGGAAUUCCCAGUGUAGAGGUGAAAUUCGUAGAUAUUGGGAAGAACACCAGUGGCGAAGGCGGCUAUCUGGUCCGGUACUGACGCUGAGGCGCGAAAGCGUGGGGAGCAAACAGGAUUAGAUACCCGUGUAGUCC
rnacentral:rRNA from 1 species